UAACGACUCUCGGCAACGGAUAUCUCGGCUCUCGCAUCGAUGAAGAACGCAGCAAAAUGCGAUACUUGGUGUGAAUUGCAGAAUCCCGUGAAUCAUCGAGUUUUUGAACGCAAGUUGCGCCCAAAGCCUUUUGGCCGAGGGCACGUCUGCCUGGGUGUCACGC
rnacentral:rRNA from 3 species